CUAGGGAGCUUCCGUUUCCUGCUGUUUUCCAUAAUUUCUUUUGGCUCUUACCACCCCCUGUUAACCCCACACCGCCCCCCGUUUUUUUUGGUGACGUUCGCUUAACACUUUCCGACCUUUUUCGAUGCGGUUCGAAGGCAACGGCGGUCGAAACUCAGAUUCAGUCGGGCUACGUAGCUCGUUCUGCUCGGAACUCGGAUCUCGGAAUUCGAACUCGAUUCCCAGUCGAUUUCAGUGGCAAUUCCAUGGGGUUUCAGUUGAUUUUGGCGCGUUGUGCUUGAGCGAUCAUCCCGAAAGCGACGCGAAACGCGAUCCCCGAUUUUGGUCUGGAAAACGAAUAAAAAAAAAAACAAAUGCUAAACAGAUUACAAAAAUAGUAGAAACAAAAAAAAGUACAGAAAAUACUAAUAGUAAAACUGGGUUCCAGGCAACCGAUAAGCUCACUUAUCUGUGCGGUCGUGUGUGAUUCUGCAUAUAUAUAGUACAGCCCAUAUAUGUAAUAUAUACAAUCAUUAUAUUUGUUUACAGUCUGCGGUUGAUAAAGACUCUGAUUGAAAAUUAACGCGUGUGCUGAAAAAUAAUUCCGAUUUAAUAAUAAUAAUAAUAGUAAUAAUCCUUGACAAUAAGGGAAAAUUCGAAUUUUUUGUUCAUUUUUUUUUCGGUUACUGUGCUAAUCAGAGAUCAGAAAUCAGAAAUCCGAAAUUUCUGCGGCGAUAAGCCAACGGAAGCUGAUAAACAACAAAGAAGCGGCGGCAUCUGGAAGAUAAUAUAACUCGAGGGUCUGAGGUGAGUUGUUGAGUGUGAAAAUCGAGUGAAAGAGCGGCGGCUGCGCACUUUUUAUCGCGGGCUUUUCACACAAAAGGGGGUUUUUCUCGGCCUGCAAAAUACAACAACAAAAAAGCUGCCAAAAGAGCAAAAAGGCGGAAAAGAGACGAAACAACAACAAAUGCAGUAGAACAAGAAACCAAACGGGGGAAAAAA